rnacentral:tRNA from 1 species
GGGGAUGUAGCUCAGUGGUAGAGCGUUCGCUUUGCAUGUGAAAGGCCUCGAGUUCAAUCCCCGGCAUCUUUA